UUUCAUUUUUCACCAUCCAGAGAUCUGAUUUACUAACUCACUACUGAUUCUGAGGUAGGACCCCAGCUUAGGAAGGCACUUUCAGGCAAGACUGUUCUGCGGUAAUUAGAAAAUGGAGAGUGGCCCUGUCAGAUGCAAAGGAGAAUAUCAAAUUUGGAAAAAAGUACUGCCUAUUGCACAAGAGGUUCCUGCUACAUCCUUCCUAAAAGGCCUUCCCCUGCAAGCUUGCCUACCUCACAUCGACUUUCCCCACAUAGCUGCAAAAGUGGACGUCUGAGAAGAAGGGGGAGGAAGAGGAGAAGAAGGAAGAGAUGAAGAAGGCGAAGAUGAAGAAAAAGAAGAAGAGGAGGAAGAAGAAGAAGGAGGAAGAGGGGGAAAAGAGGAGGAGAUGAUGUUAUGUCAUCCCUUCACCCUUCCCCUGCACACACACACACACACACACACACACACACACACACACAGACACACACACACACACACACACACCACGAAAACCCUUCAAGAGCUUCCCAUUGUACUUAGAAUAAAAUCCACGCUUGAGUAAAGCUCUGCAUGAUUUGGCCCCUGCAAACCUCUCCAGCCUCCUCUUGCUUGGGAGCCUCUGUGCUCACAACUCUCCUGUCACCCUGGUCUUCUUCCAGGUCCUUGAAUGCCGGCUAAGCUCUUUGCUGCCCCAGGACCUUCGCACCUGGUCUUCUACUGGCAGGAAUACUGUUUCCUGAGUCUUCCCCUGACUGGCUCCUUCAUUUCCUUUAGGUCUCAGCUUGAGUGUAACCUCACAGGGCCAUUUCCUGCUCACCUGGUGAAAAGUCAGGCCUCGUCUGUUCUCUGUUUUAGCUCCUAAGUUUCUUUAUGACAAUUAUUUCAGCCCACAGUUCUUUUAUUUACUUGUCUGCUUACAUUUUGUUUUAAUCUUUUCUUUACUUCCCCCCACUUCAACAGAUGCUCCAUGGAGAAAUGGGUUAACCACUGCAUUGCCAGAGCCUGGCAUAUAGGGGUGCUCAAAUAAAGACUUGAUGAGUG
rnacentral:lncRNA from 1 species